GGAAAGAUAAUUCGUAGCGGAGAAUCUUCGAGUAUCUGGCCGGGCUUCGAUCUGAGUAUGAGCUUCAGAGCGUGCAGGUUCUAGGGAAGGAUACUUGACCUUCCUUGGAAUCUGUUUACAUGAGGGGGUGAAGCAAGUCGUCGUGCUAUGAGUGGUGGGUUCUAAUAUUUCAGAGAGGUCCGCACUGGUAGCUGAUUCUAGACCGUACAGAGGGAACCAGAGUUCUGGUAAGGGCCAGACCGGGACCCCAUGUCUUCUGCAGAUAGAGAGAAGCUCCGUUGCACUCAUUGUGGCAAAUGGGGGCACAGGCUAAUUGAUGAAAUGCUAGAGAACUAUGUUCGACUUGAUCCCCUUGAAAGGGUACAUAGGCAACUUGGGG
rnacentral:lncRNA from 1 species